GAUGAAGAACGUAGCGAAAUGCGAUACGUAAUGUGAAUUGCAAAUUCAGUGAAUCAUCGAGUCUUUGAACGCACAUUGCGCCCCCUGGUAUUCCGGGGGGCAUGCCUGUCCGAGCGUCAUUGCUGCCCUCAAGCACGGCUUGUGUGUUGGGCCCCGUCCUCCGAUCCCGGGGGACGGGCCCGAAAGGCAGCGGCGGCACCGCGUCCGGUCCUCGAGCGUAUGGGGCUUUGUCACCCGCUCUGUAGGCCCGGCCGGCGCUUGCCGAUUAACCCAAAUUUUUAUCCAGGUUGACCUCGGAUCAGGUAGGGAUACCCGCUGAACUUAAGCAUAUCAAUAAGCGGAGGA
rnacentral:misc_RNA from 1 species